UACAGAGGUCUCAAGCGUUGUUCGGAUUCAUUGGGCGUAAAGGGUGCGUAGGUGGCGCCGUAAGUCGGGUGUGAAAUUUCGGAGCUUAACUCCGAAACUGCAUUCGAUACUGCGGUGCUUGAGGACUGGAGAGGAGACUGGAAUUCAUGGUGUAGCAGUGAAAUGCGUAGAGAUCAUGAGGAAGACCAGUGGCGAAGGCGACUCUCUGGCCUGUAACUGACACUGAGGCGCGAAAGCGUGGGGAGCGAACAGG
rnacentral:rRNA from 1 species